GCCUUAGGCCCUUUUGACCUACACUUGGGCUACCUAGUGACACCGAUUUCACAGCCACUUUUUUUUUUUGAGACAGAAGCCUCAAGCCGUUGCCCUGGGUAGAGUAGCAUCACAGCUCACAGCAACCUCCAACUCCCGGGCUCAAGCGAUUCUCUUGCCUCCGCCUCCCAAGUAGCUGGGACUACAGGCGCCUGCCACAACGCCCGGCUAUUCCUUGGCUGCAGCCGUCCUUGUUGUUUGGCGAGCCCAGGCUGGAUUCGAACCCGCCAGCUCAGGUGUAUGUGGCUGCUGCCUUAGUCGCUUGAGCCACAGGCGCCGAGUCCACAGCCACAUUAUAAUGGGUGUAUUUAUUCCAAAUAACAGAGAAGGAACCUGUGAAUUAGGAAAGGCCCGCCUCUAUGGUCAGUCUGCCCAAACCCCUCUCCCAACUCCACAGUCCCAAUACCCUGUGACUGCCAGACAGUUACUUCUCCGAAGCUGCUUCCCAUUAGGAGGAAUAACUACAUGCGGUUACCCUGAGAUUAAAUGGCAUGUUUGUGUACUACUUACAGUAAACUUCACGAACAUUCGCGACUGCCUUUAUUUACAGCUCUCAGGAGGCUGUUUCAGACUCGUGGCCCCAGAGGGAAAUCUCUACAGGCGGAGGGGUCCUUCGCCUCAGUCUGGAGCUGUAGCUGGCAGCGCGGCGUACGUGCUCCGAGAGCUUCUGUACCCUCGGCCGCCGCCGACAUAGCUUGAUUCCUCUAGAUUUGUCUGCGCCACUUGCCCGAUACACGCUCCGCCGUCGUAAGCCGCCAUCAUGGUGAAGCUCGCAAAGGCAGGUAAAAAUCAAGGUGACCCCAAGAAAAUGGCUCCUCCCCCAAAGGAGGUAGAAGAAGACAGUGAAGAUGAGGAAAUGUCAGAAGAUGAGGAUGAUGACAGCAGUGAGGAAGAGGUUAUUGUCUCUCAGAAGAAAGGCAAGAAGGCUACUGCAACCCCAGCAAAGAAAGUGGUGGUUUCUGCAACAAAAAAGGUUGCAAUUGCCACACCUGCCAAGGAAGCAGCUGUCACCCCAGGCAAAAAGGCAGCAGCCCCACAGGCCGAGAAGAUGGUUACUCCAGCCAAAGCAGUAGCAACACCCGGCAAAAAGGGAGGCACACCCGGCAAAGCAUUGGUAGCAACCCCUGGUAAGAAGGGAGCAGCCACUCCAGCCAAGGGGGCAAAGAACGGCAAGAAUGCCAAGAAGGAAGACAGUGAUGAUGAUGAUGAGGACGAUGACAGUGAGGAGGAGGAUGAAGAGGAAGAUGAGGAAGAAGAAGAGGAUGAAUUUGAACCAGCAGUGAUGAAAGCAGCAGCGGCUGCUCUUGCCUCAGAGGAUGAUAAAGAUGAAGAUGAUGAGAAUGAGGAGGAUGACUCUGGAGAAGAAGCCAUGGAGACCACACCAGCCAAAGGAAAGAAAGCUCCUACAAAAGUUGUUCCUGUGAAAGCUAAGAGUGUGGCUGAGGAGGAGGAUGAAGAUGGUGAGGAAAAGGAAGAAGAGCCUGUCAAAGAAGCACUUGGAAAACGAAAGAAGGAAAUGAUGAAACAGAAAGUGGAAGAAAGUUUGGGUGUGUGGAUUUUGAAUCUGCUGAAGACCUGGAAAAAGCCUUGGAGCUCACUGGUUUGAAAGUCUUUGGCAAUGAAAUUAAACUAGAGAAACCAAAAGGGAAAGACAGUAAGAAAGCAAAUCAUCCGAUGACAAUGGAUCAUGUAGAGAAGAAUGCUAAGAAAAGAAAAUAUAGUGAGGAUUUCUUACAGUAUGGUUUUACCUCAAUAAUUACAGCAGGAAUUGAGAAUCCACAAUGUAUUAUUUGUUGUGAAGUUCUAUCAGCUGAAUGUAUGAAACCGAACAAACUAAAACACCAUUUUGAUAGCAAGCAUCCGAGCUUUGCCGACAAGGAUACCAACUAUUUUAGAAGCAAAGCUGAUGGACUCAAGAAAGCCAGACUUGACACUGGUGGCAAGUAGCACAAACAAAACAUAGCAGCCGUUGAAGCUUCAUAUUUGGUGGCACUCAGAAUCGCCAGAGCUGUGAAACCUCACACCACUGCUGAGGAUUUACUGUUGCCAGCAGCCAAAGACGUUGUUUGAGUUACGAUCAGAGAUAAAUUUGUUACGAAAUUAAGUGCAAUUUCCUUACCUAACGACACUGUCCGCAGAACAGAUGACCUGUCUGCUGAUAUUCCUAAUCAGGUAAUCCAGGAAAUUAGAUCUGCCCCACUUCCACUAUUUAGUAUCCAGCUUGAUGAACUACAGACGUUGCAAACUGUUCACAGUUACUGGUUUACGUGAGGUAUAUUAAUGAUGGCGACUUUAAAGAUGAGCUUCUUUUUUGCAAACCUCUUGAAACAACAAGUACUGCAUGUGAUGUAUUUGACACAGUGGGUUCAUUUCUGAAAGAGCAUAAGAUCUCUUGGGGAAAGGUUUGUGGUGUUUGCACAGAUGGUGCUCCAGCUAUGCUAGGAUGUCAGUCUGGAUUUCAACGUUUGGUACUAAAUGAGUCACCAAAAGUCCUUGGAACUCACUGUGUGAUUCAUGGGCAAAUAUUAGCAAUGAAGACACUGCCACAAGAGUUACAAGAAGUAAUGAAAAGCAUCCUAAGUUCUGUCAAUUUUGUAAAGGCGAGCGCUUUAAACAGUCGACUGUUUUCACAACUAUGCAAUGAGUUGUGCCCCAGCCCGCGGGGAAUUCAACGGGGACCUGGGAAACAAAGGGGUCAGUCGAAUGAGGGGACAAGAAACACGAAAGAAUGAGAGCAAGUCAAGAGUCUGAUCAAGCUCCGUCGAGUUUAUUUUUCAGCUGGACUUACAAGCACACAAACGAGGAAGUAACUAAGGGCUAUUCCUAACAGGGCGGGGAGGGGGCUAGUUUCUGGAAAAUUACUAGGAGAAGGACCCUAAGGCGGGUGGUGCAUUUUUGAGGAGAUACGCAAGGGGAAAGUACCAUUGCUGUUUACGGUUGAAUUCCUGAGAAUAGUUUGCUUGUAAAAUCAAGAUAGCAAGGGGCAUUUUUGUGAUAUGUUUUGGCUCCCGGCAUCUCCUCCCUUUUAGUUUUUUAAAUUGUUGGGGUCUGUCAGUUGUCGGCGUAGAAGAGAGGGCAUUAACCUUUUGGGGGGAAGUAUUGACCUGAUUCCUCCCGCGGGCAUAAUGACCACAUGAUAAGUUUGAGCGUCUUUUGGGGAGGAGAGGAGAAAUUUUUAAGACGCUAACCUCUAUGCAAAUCAGGUUUGCUUCCAAGGGAUUCAGAGAAGCUGUUUAUGCCUUCCCUCUGCAGUGUCUUUAUUGCACCCCGUAAAAAGGUACCCAGGUUGUACUCACAUAUGAUGGUGAGUCAACGUGCAUAGCUCUGAGUGCUUACGCGGUUCCCGGAGGAAUAUCUUCGUUGGCAAGGCCCCGGUCUGCAAGGUCGAGUCUAUGAUAAUGGACUUGAAUGGGUUUUGAUGCCAGGGAGUCAAUCUGUGAUUUGAUAAAAUUCAUGAUUUUGUUAAGAAUAAUGGGUCCAAGGGUGAUUAUUAAUAGCAAGAAUAAGGGGACCUGCAAGGGGCAUGAGUAAGGAGUACAUGGAGGAUUUCCACCACUCGUUUGCCUCAGAAGAAAAUUUUUGUUUUUGUAAAUCUAAGCUAAGCUUAUGAAGUUUGUCAAUCUGUGUUUUCGAGUUUUCAGUUAAAUAAAAGCGCCAAGUGAAGGGCUUGGUAACUGCUGGAACAGGUUGGCCCAGUGCUGGAAGGCAGAAGAUCAGGAGAUAAGGCAGCAUCAUGGAUGGAACUCCGUGGUUCUGGAAGGGAAAGGAGAAAGAUAAUCUCAGGGAGGUUUUUCUCCCUGGAUUUUAGAAUUGCUAUCAAUUUGUUUUACUAAUCUUUCAGGCAGCCAUCUGGCUGCAUUUUCUUUCAUAUUUGGACUGCACAUAAUUAGUCUUAGUUGGGCCAGGAUGUCUCUGCCCCAGAGAUUGACUGGGAGGCCAGGCACAACAUAAGGUUGGACAGUACCAGUGUUGCCUUCCUCGUCUGUCCAUUUGAGGAUUUCAGCACUCUGUUGGGGGUUGGAGGUUUGGCCAAUACCCCGGAGAUGGGUUAGGGAAGUAGUGAGGGGCCAGGAAGGGGGCCAG